UACGAAGGGGGCUAGCGUUGCUCGGAAUCACUGGGCGUAAAGCGCACGUAGGCGGAUCUUUAAGUCAGGGGUGAAAUCCUGGAGCUCAACUCCAGAACUGCCUUUGAUACUGGGGAUCUUGAGUCCGGAAGAGGUGAGUGGAACUCCGAGUGUAGAGGUGAAAUUCGUAGAUAUUCGGAAGAACACCAGUGGCGAAGGCGGCUCACUGGUCCGGUACUGACGCUGAGGUGCGAAAGCGUGGGGAGCAAACAGGG
rnacentral:rRNA from 1 species